rnacentral:rRNA from 1 species
AUGUCGCGGUUCGUCGACAAGCUGCCGUUCUUUGACCGGAGGGCGUCGCCGAUGGAGGAAGCCGACGAUAUCCCGCGCAGCGGCCUCCUCCACCUGCACGGCGGCCACCACCACUACCAGCACCACCACCAGCCGCAGACCGCCUUGAUGGCGCCCGAGCCGUCCCCGCCCACGACCAAGCAGUCCUCCUCCACUCUGGCGCAGCUCCUCAAGCGCGUCAACGAGGCGCGCAGCGACGCCUCGUCGCCCAACUCGUCCCCGUCCCACUACACCAUCGAGCUCGGAGCCUCCAUGCCGGGCUCCACCGGCAGUGAGAGCGAGCACACCAGCCUCACCGGUGUCGGCGACGGCACGCUGCUGCCGUUCGUGCUCAAGUUCACCGACCUCACGUACAGCGUCAAGCAGAGGAAGAAGGGCCCCUGCCUGCCCGCGCUGCCGUUCCGUCGCGGGGACGCGGAGCCCGAGGCGCCGCGGAUGAAGACGCUGCUGGAUAAUAUCUCCGGGGAGGCCCGGGAGGGCGAGAUCAUGGCGGUGCUCGGUGCCAGCGGGUCCGGCAAGAGCACGCUCAUCGACGCGCUCGCCAACCGCAUCAGGAAGGAGAGCCUCCACGGCUCCGUCACGCUCAACGGCGAGUCCAUGGACAACAACCUGCUCAAGGUCAUCUCGGCGUACGUGAUGCAGGACGACCUCCUGUACCCGAUGCUCACCGUGGAGGAGACGCUCAUGUUCUCCGCCGAGUUCCGCCUGCCGCGCUCCCUCCCCACCAAGGAGAAGAAGAAGCGGGUGCAGGCGCUCAUCGACCAGCUCGGCCUGCGCAACGCGGCCAACACCAUCAUCGGCGACGAGGGACACCGCGGCGUGUCGGGCGGCGAGCGCCGGCGCGUGUCCAUCGGAGUGGACAUCAUCCACGACCCCAUCGUGCUGUUCCUCGACGAGCCCACCUCCGGGCUCGACUCCACCAGCGCCUUCAUGGUGGUGAAGGUGCUGCAGCGCAUCGCCCAGAGCGGCAGCGUCGUGGUCAUGUCCAUCCACCAGCCGAGCUAUCGCAUCCUCGGCCUCCUCGACCGCCUCCUGUUCCUGUCCCGCGGCCAGACUGUGUACUACGGACCUCCUGGUUCGCUGUCGUCCUUCUUCUCGGACUUCGGCAAGCCCAUCCAUGACAACGAGAACCCGACGGAGUUCGCGCUCGACCUCGUUAGGGAGCUCGAGACCAUGCCGAACGGGGCCUGCGACCUCGUCGAGCACAACAAGUCGUGGCAGAAGCGCAUGGGCCCGAAGAUGAAACACGCCGACGACGGGAACGGGGGGAAGCCAUCGCUCUCUCUUCAGGAGGCCAUCAGCGCCAGCAUCUCUCGCGGGAAGCUCGUGUCCGGCGCGACCGACGGCAAUGUCACGGUGCCCUCGCCGUCGUCCGCCCCGGCGUCCGCGGUGGCCAAGUUCGCGAACCCGUUCUGGAUCGAGAUGGGGGUGCUGACCCGUCGCGCGUUCCUCAACACGAAGCGCACGCCGGAGAUCUUCGUCAUCCGCCUGGGCGCGGUGCUGAUCACGGGGUUCAUCCUGGCGACCAUCUUCUGGCGCCUAGACGACUCGCCCAAGGGCGUGGAGGAGCGGCUGGGCUUCUUCGCCAUCGCCAUGUCCACCAUGUUCUACACCUGCUCCGACGCGCUGCCCGUGUUCCUCAACGAGCGCUACAUCUUCCUCCGCGAGACGGCCUACAACGCGUACCGGCGGUCCUCGUACGUGCUCUCCCACACCAUCGUCGGCUUCCCCUCGCUCAUCGUCCUCUCCCUGGCCUUCGCGGUGACCACAUUCUUCGCCGUGGGGCUGGCCGGCGGCGCCGAGGGGUUCUUCUUCUUCGUGGCCAUCGUGCUGGCCUCGUUCUGGGCCGGAAGCGGGUUCGCGACGUUCCUGUCGGGCGUGGUGACCAACGUGCAGCUGGGGUUCCCCGUGGUGGUGUCGACGCUGGCCUACUUCCUGCUCUUCAGCGGCUUCUUCAUCAACCGGGACAGGAUCCCCAAGUACUGGCUGUGGUUCCACUACGCGUCGCUGGUCAAGUACCCGUACGAGGCGGUGAUGAUCAACGAGUUCAGCGACCCCGGGCGGUGCUUCGUGCGCGGGGUGCAGAUGUUCGACAACACGCCGCUGUCCGUCCUGCCGGCGGCGAUUAAGGUGCGGGUGCUGCGGGCCAUGAGCUCGUCCCUCGGCAUCAACAUCGGCACGGCGACGUGCAUCACCACGGGGCCGGACUUCCUGAAGCAGCAGGCCGUCACCGACCUCACCAAGUGGGACUGCCUCUGGAUCACCGUCGCCUGGGGCUUCCUCUUCCGCAUCCUCUUCUACAUCUCGCUGCUGCUCGGGAGCAGGAACAAGAGGAGGUAG